CUUUGGCCUACAGAGAAUUCAAUUGUUCUUGGAGCAGUUGAUGGCAAGGUUCGUGCUGGCAACGUACCUACAAACAAGACAGCAACACUCUUCCGCACAGAGUCCAGUGUUAUCUCACUGACAUCCAAUCUUUCUGGUAAAGGCAUCCUGUGUGGUCAUGCUGAUGGAACAGUUGCCCGUUACUUUUUGGGAA